GGAGGGGGAUAACUACUGGAAACGGUAGCUAAUACCGCAUAACGUCGCAAGACCAAAGAGGGGGACCUUMGGGCCUCUUGCCAUCGGAUGUGCCCAGAUGGGAUUAGCUAGUAGGUGGGGUAAMGGCUCACCUAGGCGACGAUCCCUAGCUGGUCUGAGAGGAUGACCAGCCACACUGGAACUGAGACACGGUCCAGACUCCUACGGGAGGCAGCAGUGGGGAAUAUUGCACAAUGGGCGCAAGCCUGAUGCAGCCAUGCCGCGUGUAUGAAGAAGGCCUUCGGGUUGUAAAGUACUUUCAGCGGGGAGGAAGGGAGUAAAGUUAAUACCUUUGCUCAUUGACGUUACCCGCAGAAGAAGCACCGGCUAACUCCGUGCCAGCAGCCGCGGUAAUACGGAGGGUGCAAGCGUUAAUCGGAAUUACUGGGCGUAAAGCGCACGCAGGCGGUUUGUUAAGUCAGAU
rnacentral:rRNA from 1 species